rnacentral:rRNA from 1 species
GUAGGUGGCAAGCGUUGUCCGGAUUUACUGGGCGUAAAGAGCGCGCAGGCGGUCGGAUCAGUCGAAUGUGAAAGCCCCCGGCUCAACUGGGGAGGGUCAUUCGAUACUGUCCGACUCGAAGGCAGGAGAGGGAAGCGGAAUUCCCGGUGUAGUGGUGAAAUGCGUAGAUAUCGGGAGGAACACCAGUGGCGAAGGCGGCCUUCUGGCCUGUUCUUGACGCUGGGGCGCGAAAGCUAGGGGAGCGAACGGGAUUAGAUACCCCGGUAGUCCUAGCCGUAAACGAUGGACACUAGGUGUUGGUGGUAUCAACCCCACCAGUGCCGUAGCUAACGCAUUAAGUGUCCCGCCUGGGGAGUACGGCCGCAAGGCUA